CGUACGUAAGUAAGUCAUUACUAUUUAUAGUAAGUUUACAGGAUAUUGCAGGAGAGAAAUGUUGUGAUGACUAGCUGAUAAAUAUAUAUCUUCAGUCUGAAAGAUGUCAAUCAUGAUGAAUGACCACUGUUUAGAGUAUGGGACUGUGUUCCAUCUGCUUGGAGACCAGAAGUAGGCCCUGCUGCUGUGUUCCUUGUGGUCAUCUGUUCUGUAGGGACUGUAUAGAAGCCUGGUUUAAACAUACAAGAAUUUGUCCAGAUUGUCGAAAGGAAAUUGACCGCUUACAGUCGGUCUUUGGUUUGGAGGAGGAAACUCAGAACAUUGGCACGUCAGAUGAAGUUGCAGGUCCACAGCCAACAGCGCUUCCACUAAUUUCCCAACUACAACAGAGAAUCCCGCAACAGAGGCCUUAUUUUAUUGCAUUAACAGUCAUCUUUACAUUGUUCCUAUUAAUAGAUCUGAUUACAUCAGGCGGCGGUUGGACUUCAUACGUUUUUCACAGUGCUGCAGCAAUAUCAAGUGCAAUGUUUAACAUUCUAUGGGACUUGUCAGCUAUGGUGGUCAAUGUUUUGAUUGCUCUGAUAAAGUUUCCGUUUCAUUUCGUGGCCAAUCUCCCCAGUUACUGUGAUUCUGUGUCCAAUUUUUUUCAUCAUUUAUUUUGGUUUGUAAUCUAUGCUGUCAUAGUUAUACUUGUUGUGUGGUAUUGUGUUCACACUGUAUUGAUAACAAUUGAACGCAGAGAGUGGAAAUUGAAAAGGAAAAUGAAAAAGAAACAGUAAUUUCUUACUUGAAUCACCUGAACAUGGUUUUCUAACUCUGAUAAGAAAUUAUUUUUACCAGAUUUUUCAUUGCAUAAUCUGUAGCUCAUAUUCCAGUGAUGUGUUCUUUAAUUUUAUACUGUCUAACUUGGUUUCUAGAAUAUCAUUCAAUAUCUCAGAUCUCAAACCCUUACAAUAUUUAAAAUAUAAUAUAAUCCUCCACUUAUUUUUAUAUGAAAAGAAAUUAUAUAUGUAUCAGUUAAAAUAACCACAGGCAAACAAUUAAAAAAAAACAACCUUUUUUUAUAGCAAAGUACAGUAACUACCUGUACUAUGUUAGUUAUUACAUGUAUUAUUGAACAGAUAGUUUUAUCUCUUUGAUACAUAUACAUUGUGUACCGAUAAUAUGUGUUUGGACAUUCCCUUCUGUGAGAAUGCUUUACUAAUAUGUAUAGUUAAGUAACAUUUGUAUUAGAGUAUAUCAAACACAGAAACAGUGAGACAGUUUGGUUUCACUGCACGUUGUAUCAAGGAAUGUGUAGCUUACAAUAUGUGAGGUUUAUUUAUUUGUAAAGUCUGCUGGCAACCUUGAUAAAAACUGACUAACAUGAAUAAAAUGUAUAAAACUAUUAAUUUUGUUUAAUUCAUGUUUUGUUAAUUAAGAUGUGAAUUUUUAUCACAUACAAAGCAUAAAUAGCUGGUUCUUUCCACUUUUUCAUCCAAGAAAGUCAAACCACUUUCUUUGAAAUAACAUCCAAUCAAAACUAACAGUGCAGGUUUAUAAAAUAUUUAUUUAACUGGUAUAACAAGCAAAAGGCACAUCCAAUUGAAUGAAUGAGAAAAAUAUACUAAAAUAACCUUGGUCUAGCUUUUGUCAUGGAAAAAUAUAGUCUAUGUAUGUACAUGUAUAUAAUAAGAAAUGAGCUUUCUAAUCUGCAAAAAAAAUUGUUCUUAACAAAUAAGGGGAAUAAGAUUAAUAAAAUUGAAAAGAAAUAUGUUGGUUGUUUCCAUGCUGCUGCUAUUCAUGUUGUUAUUGCUGUUCUUUUGUUUUUUGCUAGAUGAAAUGUGGUACCAUUUUAACAAGAUAAAUUUUCGAAUAAAGUAAGGAUGAUGCCAUACAUGUACAUGAACAACUCUGAUUUUUAAACACAGCAGCCAAUUAGCAAAAAACUCACCCCUUUCAGACUUUUACCCCCACAAGUUGUAUAAUUUUUUGCGCAUUGGUCAUACUGUUAUUUUCAUAA